rnacentral:rRNA from 1 species
UACAGAGGUCUCAAGCGUUGUUCGGAUUCAUUGGGCGUAAAGGGUGCGUAGGCGGCGCGGUAAGUCGGGUGUGAAAUCUCGGAGCUUAACUCCGAAACUGCAUUCGAUACUGCCGUGCUUGAGGACUGGAGAGGAGACUGGAAUUUACGGUGUAGCAGUGAAAUGCGUAGAGAUCAUGAGGAAGACCAGUGGCGAAGGCGGGUCUCUGGACAGUUCCUGACACUGAGACACGAAGGCCAGGGGAGCAAACAGG